AUUGAACGCUGGCGGCAGGCUUAACACAUGCAAGUCGAGCGGUAGCACAGGGGAGCUUGCUCCCUGGGUGACGAGCGGCGGACGGGUGAGUAAUGUCUGGGAAACUGCCUGAUGGAGGGGGAUAACUACUGGAAACGGUAGCUAAUACCGCAUAACGUCGCAAGACCAAAGAGGGGGACCUUCGGGCCUCUUGCCAUCAGAUGUGCCCAGAUGGGAUUAGCUAGUAGGUGGGGUAAUGGCUCACCUAGGCGACGAUCCCUAGCUGGUCUGAGAGGAUGACCAGCCACACUGGAACUGAGACACGGUCCAGACUCCUACGGGAGGCAGCAGUGGGGAAUAUUGCACAAUGGGCGCAAGCCUGAUGCAGCCAUGCCGCGUGUGUGAAGAAGGCCUUCGGGUUGUAAAGCACUUUCAGCGAGGAGGAAGGUGGUGAGCUUAAUACGCUCAUCAAUUGACGUUACUCGCAGAAGAAGCACCGGCUAACUCCGUGCCAGCGGCCGCGGUAAUACGGAGGGUGCAAGCGUUAAUCGGAAUUACUGGGCGUAAAGCGCACGCAGGCGGUUUGUUAAGUCAGAUGUGAAAUCCCCGGGCUCAACCUGGGAACUGCAUUUGAAACUGGCAAGCUAGAGUCUCGUAGAGGGGGGUAGAAUUCCAGGUGUAGCGGUGAAAUGCGUAGAGAUCUGGAGGAAUACCGGUGGCGAAGGCGGCCCCCUGGACGAAGACUGACGCUCAGGUGCGAAAGCGUGGGGAGCAAACAGGAUUAGAUACCCUGGUAGUCCACGCUGUAAACGAUGUCGAUUUGGAGGUUGUGCCCUUGAGGCGUGGCUUCCGGAGCUAACGCGUUAAAUCGACCGCCUGGGGAGUACGGCCGCAAGGUUAAAACUCAAAUGAAUUGACGGGGGCCCGCACAAGCGGUGGAGCAUGUGGUUUAAUUCGAUGCAACGCGAAGAACCUUACCUACUCUUGACAUCCAGAGAACUUAGCAGAGAUGCUUUGGUGCCUUCGGGAACUCUGAGACAGGUGCUGCAUGGCUGUCGUCAGCUCGUGUUGUGAAAUGUUGGGUUAAGUCCCGCAACGAGCGCAACCCUUAUCCUUUGUUGCCAGCGGUUCGGCCGGGAACUCAAAGGAGACUGCCAGUGAUAAACUGGAGGAAGGUGGGGAUGACGUCAAGUCAUCAUGGCCCUUACGAGUAGGGCUACACACGUGCUACAAUGGCGUAUACAAAGAGAAGCGACCUCGCGAGAGCAAGCGGACCUCAUAAAGUACGUCGUAGUCCGGAUUGGAGUCUGCAACUCGACUCCAUGAAGUCGGAAUCGCUAGUAAUCGUAGAUCAGAAUGCUACGGUGAAUACGUUCCCGGGCCUUGUACACACCGCCCGUCACACCAUGGGAGUGGGUUGCAAAAGAAGUAGGUAGCUUAACCUUCGGGAGGGCGCUUACCACUUUGUGAUUCAUGACUGGGGUGA
rnacentral:rRNA from 1 species